CCUACGGGCGGCAGCAGUGAGGAAUAUUGGUCAAUGGACGAGAGUCUGAACCAGCCAAGUAGCGUGAAGGAUGACUGCCCUAUGGGUUGUAAACUUCUUUUAUAUGGGAAUAAAAUGUUCCACGUGUGGGAUUUUGUAUGUACCAUAUGAAUAAGGAUCGGCUAACUCCGUGCCAGCAGCCGCGGUAAUACGGAGGAUCCGAGCGUUAUCCGGGUUUGUUGGGUUUAAAGGGUGCGUAGGUGGAAUGUUAAGUCAGUUGUGAAAAUUGGCGGCUCAACCGUAAAAUUGCAGUUGAAACUGGCAGUGUUGAGUACGGGAGAGGUAGGCGGAAUGCGUGGUGUAGCGGUGAAAUGCUUAGAUAUCACGAAGAACUCCGAUUGCGAAGGCAGCUUACCGGAGUGCAACUGACACUGAGGCACGAAGGUGUGGGUAUCGAACAGGAUUAGAUACCCUUGUAGUC
rnacentral:rRNA from 1 species